rnacentral:rRNA from 1 species
UACGUAGGGUCCGAGCGUUGUCCGGAAUUAUUGGGCGUAAAGGGCUCGUAGGCGGUUCGUCACGUCGGGAGUGAAAACUCGGAGCUUAACUCCGAGCCUGCUUCCGAUACGGGCAGACUAGAGGUAGGCAGGGGAGAGCGGAACUCCUGGCGUAGCGGUGGAAUGCGCAGAUGUCAGGAAGAACACCGGUGGCGAAGGCGGCAUGCUGGCGCAUUCCUGACACUGAGGCGCGAGAGCGUGGGGAGCAAACGGG